AGGAAGGUGGUGUUUUAACAGCCCCUUUGAGCAGGGAUGAUGUAGUAUCUGGCAUGCUGUGGUAGAAAGCACAGUUCUAGCUUCAAGAGAAAGCGAUAUUCAGUAUCAUUUAUGUGAGAAAGGCAAAUUCCAGAAUGGUCAGUGUUCUUGUGGGAUGCCAGUAGCAGGGGAUGUUUUGUGUUUAGAACAAGAGUAAAUGUGCAAGAGGUGUGACCUAAGCAGAUUUAUGCUCAAAUGAGUGGGAACAACCUUACAGAAAAUUUCAGUUUAGCAUGUGUACCUCUUUCCCAAAUGCUUUCUACUUGGAUUGGGGAAAAAGACACAACAAAACAAAAUAGUUAACUUUCCCCUUCAGCAUUAUACAGCACAUCCUAAAUGAAACAUGACUUUCUGAGUUACAAGCUGCCCCUG
rnacentral:lncRNA from 1 species